rnacentral:misc_RNA from 1 species
CAGCCUUUACAUUUGUCAACCUGUAGUGAUUCCAUGCAGCAGAUUAGUAAAGUGAAGCCAGCAAAUCACAUUACAUAAUAAAGCAACUGUGUGUACACUUUAUGAUGGCACUUACACUAAACUAAUUCUAAGCUAAUUACAAAAUAUGACAAGUCUCUUCAACUCCCACAGUUCCUUGAAAUGGAAGAAUCAUUAGAAAGAAUUUAAAAUGCUAUUGACAUCUAGAAAGGAAAUUCGGUCCCACAAGUGCAUGCAAUUUUGGUAUGGAAAUUUAAGAGUUUCAAAUGCAAUUGAAUUAAAUGGAUGUAUUGAAAAAUAAAAAAGAACAAGGCAAACUUAAGAUGUUAUGGUGGUAAAUGAAAUUGUUAAUGAUGCUACGAGAUUGCAUUUGGAUCUUUAAAAGGCUUCUAAUCAUGUGAUUGAGGAUUUCUUGGAAAUGUGACAUGACAAUUCGUUGUCUUUUCUUUUAUUUUAUUUCUUAUGUUCUCUUCAAUUUUAUUCAAAAGCGUAUGAAAUUGGAGGGCAUGAGGAGGUGAUUUUGCUCCCUCUUCUUCUCAUUUACUUAUCUUGUUGAUAUCUUUCAUAAACAUUAAUCUUGAGUAUAUUCUUAGUGUACUGGUUGUAAAAUUAAGGGUGAAUUACUAUUUGUCCCAAAGGUUAGGUUAUAAUCACAAUUGUAGAUCUUUGUUAUUUGAAUAUCAAAUCAAUUGGUCUCUGGCAUUUAAUUCGACUAACCAUUUAGUCCCUUUGUCCACUUUUACAUUAGUCAACUGUUAAAAAAGUAAUCACAAAUCUAAAAUGCCUAUGAAAAUUCCAAAAAAGAGAAAAAAACAACUAAUAACAAUUUUUUCUUUGAUUUUUUAAAAUUAACUUUUU